GGAAUUUUCCGCAAUGGGCGAAAGCCUGACGGAGCAACGCCGCGUGAGGGAUGAAGGCCUCUGGGCUGUAAACCUCUUUUAUCAAGGAAGAAGAUCUGACGGUACUUGAUGAAUAAGCCACGGCUAAUUCCGUGCCAGCAGCCGCGGUAAUACGGGAGUGGCAAGCGUUAUCCGGAAUUAUUGGGCGUAAAGCGUCCGCAGGCGGUCUUUUAAGUCUGUCGUCAAAGCGUGGAGCUUAACUCCAUUUCUGCGAUGGAAACUGGGAGACUAGAGUGUGGUAGGGGCAGAGGGAAUUCCCGGUGUAGCGGUGAAAUGCGUAGAUAUCGGGAAGAACACCAGUGGCGAAGGCGCUCUGCUGGGCCAUAACUGACGCUCAUGGACGAAAGCCAGGGGAGCGAAAGGGAUUAGAUACCCCUGUAGUCCUGGCCGUAAACGAUGAACACUAGGUGUCGGGGGAAUCGACCCCCUCGGUGUCGUAGCCAACGCGUUAAGUGUUCCGCCUGGGGAGUACGCACGCAAGUGUGAAACUCAAAGGAAUUGACGGA
rnacentral:rRNA from 1 species